rnacentral:lncRNA from 1 species
UGAGGUCACAAUUUAAAAUAAAUAAUUAAAAAAAAAUCAUACUUCAUGGGCAACAUGCUUAUAUUAAUGGAAACAGGAAACGAAAGUCUUUAUUAUUGAUCGUCAUUAAAAAAAAGGGAAAAAAAGAAAAAAAAGAACAGAAAAUUAGUGCAUAUUUAAGUGUAAGGACAGAUACAAUUUGAUAAGCCAAAAUACCACUUCAGGCCACGUCGGCCAUCUUAGAUUUCAGAUUUUAAAGAUUUGACUUGGAAUUUGAGUUUUGCAUCCAACAAUAGCCCAUAGUACUGAGUUUCACGACAAUUGAUGGAACGGGAACGGAGAUACUUUAAGCCACAUCCGACAUCUUGAUCUUGGAAUUCUGAAAAUUUAACUGAAAAUUCGAGUUUCCCUUACGAAACUCGAUUGCGCAGGAGCCAAGAUAGUAUACGCUUCUUAGGAUUUCAGCCAGUGGGGAGAUGAGCGCUCUCAUAAAGUAAAGAGCGCAUUUUUAAAUUUGGCGCGCAUGAAUUUGAACAUUGGCGCGCAUUCACUUGUAAAUUGGCGGUAAACGGAAACGGAAACUACAGCAGAAACCGGAAAUUGUUUGUUUACUCCAUACUCUGUUUAUUUUAGGUUUAGGUUAUGUUGUUUAUUUCUUUAUGUUCGGCAGAAUGUAAAUGUAAAUGAUGAAUAAGUGAUAAAGCUGUGAUUCUAUUCCUCCAGGAGAUUCUCAGCCAAUUUUCAAGAAGUUUACCGAUUACCAAGUGAAUUUAAUUUCAUUCCUUCUCUUUAUUUGGAGUCAUCGAGUUUUUGGAUAAGAUAGAAAGUUUUCGAUCUGUGCUGAGGUUUCGGAUCUCAUUUGAUCAGCAGACCAGUCAUUCCAUUUUCUCUUUGAGUGUUGAAUUUUCACGAUUUCCUCAGUUUUUCCGGUAAAUAUUGUGAAAGCCAUACCUCUAACUCCUUGCGAUUAUCUAGAUGAAUUCGUAACUGUAUUACUUACGUAUCAAUCAGAUUUGUCAAAGAUCCCUUUUGGACUGUCAUAUCUGUUCUCACAUCUUACAAUUUGUGCUUUGGAUUGAAGUUAGCUAGUUGCAAUCGAAGAAUAAAAACAUCUUUUCAGUUGUCAGAACUGAAGAAAUCAUCCUGGCCUACUAAUUUGAGGAAGCCUUAUCAGGAAAAAAAAGGUGUCUGCUGGGUGCAGCCUCAUUUGUCAAGUUUUGAAGUGCA